rnacentral:misc_RNA from 1 species
GAUGAAGAACGCAGCGAAAUGCGAUAAGUAAUGUGAAUUGCAGAUUUCAGUGAAUCAUCGAAUCUUUGAACGCACCUUGCGCCUUGUGGUAUUCCACAAGGCAUGCCCGUUUGAGUAUCAUUAAAUCAUCAACUCUAAAACCUUUGUGGUUUUUUUUAGAGCUUGGUCUUGAGGGUUUUGCAGGCUUUUUUUUUUUUCGAUUCUGCUCCCUUUAAAUGCAUUAGCGAGACUUCCCUAUGCUGAACCGUCUCUUUGACGUGAUAAUUAUCUGCGUCGAAUUUUGGUUCUCGUUGGGCUUGCUUCUAAUCGUCUGUUAAAGACAAAACGGAUUUGGGUGCAUAUAUGCGCCUUUUUCCAAUACCUUUUUUUGAUCUCAAAUCGGGUAGGACUACCCGCUGAACUUAAGCAUAUCAAUAAGCGGAGGA